CCCUUAGAUGUUCUGGGCCGCACGCGCGCUACACUGAACAGUUCAACAAGUCUUAACCUUGGCCGAUAGGUCUGGGUAAUCUUUGAACGCUGUUCGUGAUUGGGAUAGACCUUUGCAAUUAUGGGUCUUCAACGAGGAAUUCCUAGUAAACGCAAGUCAUCAGCUUGCGUUGAUUACGUCCCUGCCCUUUGUACACACCGCCCGUCGCUCCUACCGAUUGAAUGGUCCGGUGAAGCGUUCGGACCGUGGCCUUUGGACGGUUCGCCGUCUGUUGGCUGCGGGAAGUUCGUUAAACCUUAUCAUUUAGAGGAAGGAGAANUCGUAACA
rnacentral:rRNA from 1 species